rnacentral:rRNA from 1 species
GAUGAACGCUAGCGGCAGGCCUAAUACAUGCAAGUCGAACGGUGUCUUCGGAGAUAGUGGCGCACGGGUGCGUAACACGUAUGCAACCUACCUUACAUUGGGGGAUAGCCUUUCGAAAGGGAGAUUAAUACCGCAUAAGACAGUAGCUGGGCAUCCAGCAGCUGUUAAAGAUUUAUCGAUGUAAGCUGGGCAUGCGUCCAAUUAGCUAGUUGGUGAGGUAACGGCUCACCAAGGCAAUGAUUGGUAGGGGAACUGAGAGGUCAAUCCGCCACACUGGCACUGAGAAACGGUCCAGACACCUACGUGAGGCAGCAGUAGGGAGUAUUGGCCAAUGGACGCAAGUCUGACCCAGCCAUGCCGCGUGGAGGAUGAAGGCGUUAUGCGUUGUAAACUGCUUUUAUACAGGAAGAAACGACUCUUGCGAGAGGCAUUGACGGUACUGUAUGAAUAAGCACCGGCUAACUCCGUGCCAGCCGCCGCAGUAAUAC